ACGCCUCAGGGGCAAUCCGGGUCCGCCGCAAACUCUCGGAUCCUUGGGGCGGUCGGCCGGCAUUCAGGCUCAAUGCGGUAUCCUCGUGCCGCUGCCGGGUGCCGGUCGACCAUCUU
rnacentral:sRNA from 1 species